rnacentral:rRNA from 1 species
UGCAAGUCGAACGAGAAAGUGGAGCAAUCCAUGAGUACAGUGGCGUACGGGUGAGUAACACGUGGGUAAUCUACCUUUUAGUGAGGAAUAACCCUGGGAAACCGGGGCUAAUACCGCAUAAGCCUGAGAAGGGAAAGCAGCAAUGCGCUGAAAGAGGAGCCCGCGGCCGAUUAGCUAGUUGGUGGGGUAAGAGCCCACCAAGGCAGAGAUCGGUAGCCGGCCUGAGAGGGCACACGGCCACACUGGCACUGAAACACGGGCCAGACUCCUACGGGAGGCAGCAGUGGGGAAUCUUGCACAAUGGGGGAAACCCUGAUGCAGCGACGCCGCGUGAGCGAUGAAGCCCUUCGGGGUGUAAAGCUCUUUCGUCAGGGAAGAUAGUGACGGUACCUGGAGAAGCAGCUGCGGCUAACUACGUGCCAGCAGCCGCGGUAAUACGUAGGCAGCAAGCGUUGUUCGGAGUUACUGGGCGUAAAGGGUGUGUAGGCGGUUCUUUAAGUUUGUUGUGAAAUCUCCCGGCUUAACCGGGAGGGUGCGGCGAAUACUGAGGGACUAGAGUACGGGAGAGGAAAGUGGAAUUCCUGGUGUAGCGGUGAAAUGCGUAGAUAUCAGGAGGAACACCGGUGGUGUAGACGGCUUUCUGGACCGUAACUGACGCUGAGACACGAAAGCGUGGGUAGCAAACAGGAUUAGAUACCCUGGUAGUCCACGCCCUAAACGAUGCAUAUUUGGUGUGGGCAGUUCAUUCUGUCCGUGCCGGAGCUAACGCGUUAAAUAUGCCGCCUG